UCUUAAGCAUACAAUUUAAUGGUUAUUUACCCAAGUAACCACCACCGAGAUCAAGAUAGCAAAUAUUUCCAACACCCCAAGAGUCUCCCACACACCUCCUCCCCAUCCAUAUACCCCCGGCAAGGUGAGAUUAUUUGGACUCUUAUCACUGUCAAUCAGGCGUAUUCUUGAGCGUCAUGUAAAUGCAAUCAUAGUAUUCUAUCGUAGGAAUCACCUGUGUUGUUGCAGAAAGCAGUGGUUCCUGCUCACUCUUCUUUCCCGCUCGAGAAAUCACGGAGGAAUGACAGCGGACGUGACAACAUUAUAGGGAUAACCCUGAAUUCCCUCUGAUUUACAAACAAAAAAUUGGUGGGGGGGAUUAUUCAAAAACCACAGCACUUUAUUUUUGGCAGCAUUUGCUUGUGAUACAUCUCACAACUGCUGGUCCCACACCAGCGUGUCACAGCUUUGAGGCUGAGAACUGCUAGUCUAAGUGGUAUGAUUUGGGAAGUAAAGGAAGGUCAUUUCCUGCCCCCAAAAUAUCUUUACCCCACUGCUUCCCACCGGAGCUUCGCUCUAGUCAAUUUAUUGUGCUGUAUGAAGCAGCCCCAGGGUCAUCUUUUAAAAUGCAAGUACUCCUGAGAAGGGAGAAUCUGUUAGAUCCGGAACACCCCUUCGUAUGGCUUAAAGAGGAACCGGAAGCAGGUCUCACCCAGGCACUUCUGCAGCACACUCUAGACCCCCACGGUGAAGUAAGGAGGAUGGUAUUGUCAGCCCCCACUUUGUCCAUGAGGAAACUGAGGCAUGGGGAGGUCCCAUAACUCACCUAAGGCCACAUGGCUGUUAGCUUGCAGAAGCAAUCAUUCAAACCCAGCUUAGUCGGCUUCCUCCAAGGCCUGUGCUGUGACCCACCUGGGUGGACAGGAAGUACUGAGCAUUUGGAAGCAAGGAGUGCAGGGAGAAGCCAUGCUGAGAAAAGUGACACCAGGGCAUGCAGUAAAGUGUUAGAGAAAGAAAGAACCAUCUUCAUAUUGGAUUCCAUUCCCCCAACCGCCGCCCCGGGUGCUGCUGCCCCUGAUACGCCAGCAUGCCCUCCACUGGCUCCCACAGCUCCAUUUUUGGUUACCCCCACAGCAAUGUGCAGGGAUGUGUCACAGGCACCAGGUCGCAUCAUCGCAGAGAUGUGGUGCACAGGUGUUCCUGUCCCUGAAGGGCCAGCUUCCUGAUACACCUCUUGGGCUGUGGAAGAAUGCCCCUUCAGAAAUUUCAUACCAUGCAGCUUAUGUGCAUUAUUUCAGUCUGAGGAAAGGAUCUCCUUUUGCAAAUGAGAAAGCCAGUGCACAGAGGGUUAUGUUAUCGCCAAGGGGCUGCCAGCUCCGUGAGGUCAGAGGCCAUCUAUGAACUGGUCAUCACCCAAAGCCAGCUUCUUCCACUUUGUUUGGCAUUUCCCAGAUGCCUGUGACCUGUCGGUGGGCUUUCACCAUCCACAGUCCCACAGGCAUGAAUGGCCGGGUCUACCCGACCCUGAAGCACACAUCCUCCACACCACAUCCUCUCACCUGAUGGCCUCACCGUGACAAGACUGGCCAAGACUGUGGCGUGAGGGUGAGGAAGGGAGACACAGGCUUGGAAGGAAGAGGAAGUGUUUAGGGAGUCCAUCAAGUUAGGCCAAGGAGCUGGCUGCCUGUGUCUACUGGUGUGAGGCAAGAGCUCUUCCUCGAAAAUAGCAUCCUCACUGCCCAGAUUCCACUGUGACAUGUUUCCUCGCUUGGUCUUAAACACUGUGGUGAUCCACAGGUGGUGAUCCAUGAAUGGUGGUGAUCCACAGGUGGUGAUCCAUGAAUGGUGGUGAUCCAUGAAUGGUGGUGAUCCACAGGUGGUGAUCCAUGAAUGGUGG
rnacentral:lncRNA from 10 species